UACGUAGGGCGCGAGCGUUGUUCGGAUUUAUUGGGCGUAAAGAGCUCGUAGGCGGUUUGUCGCGUCGGGCGUGAAAUCUCCGCGCUUAACGUGGAGCGUGCGGUCGAUACGGGCGGACUUGAGUUCGGUAGGGGAGACUGGAAUUCCUGGUGUAGCGGUGAAAUGCGCAGAUAUCAGGAGGAACACCAGUGGCGAAGGCGGGUCUCUGGACCGAUACUGACGCUGAGGAGCGAAGGCGUGGGGAGCGAACAGG
rnacentral:rRNA from 1 species